AUCCCAGGUAAGCUGAUUUAUGUGCUUAGCUGAUUCAUGGGAGGCCAAUAUUGAAGAAUUUAUUUUCAGAAAGUUUCGCUGAUAACGCCUAUUUCUUUUUUAAUGAAGGCGUUUCAUUAGUAACUUUUCUGACAUUU
rfam:Beta vulgaris subsp. vulgaris Bvchr9.sca026.con0068.1, whole genome shotgun sequence.